ACUCCUACGGGAGGCAGCAGUGGGGAAUUUUCCGCAAUGGGCGAAAGCCUGACGGAGCAAUGCCGCGUGGAGGUGGAAGGCCUACGGGUCGUCAACUUCUUUUCUCGGAGAAGAAACAAUGGCGGUAUCUGAGGAAUAAGCAUCGGCUAACUCUGUGCCAGCAGCCGCGGUAAU
rnacentral:rRNA from 1 species